rnacentral:tRNA from 1 species
GCCCGGGUGGCGGAAUGGCAGACGCAGGGGACUUAAAAUCCCCAGGCCCUAACGGGCCGUGCAGGUUCGAGUCCUGCCCCGGGCACCA